rnacentral:rRNA from 1 species
UACGUAGGGAGCAAGCGUUGUCCGGAAUCAUUGGGCGUAAAGCGCGCGUAGGCGGCCUCGUAAGUCCGUUGUGAAAGUCAAAGGCUCAACCUUUGAAAGCCGAUGGAUACUGUGAGGCUAGAGUCCGGAAGAGGCGAGUGGAAUUCCUGGUGUAGCGGUGGAAUGCGCAGAUAUCAGGAGGAACACCGGUGGCGAAGGCGGGAUCCUGGGCCAGUACUGACGCUGAGGAGCGAAAGCGUGGGGAGCAAACAGG